rnacentral:lncRNA from 1 species
GGAAAUCCUAAUGACAGUCUCCAAAUUCGCCUCCAUCUGUACCAUGGGCGCCAAUGCUUCGGCAUUAGAGAAAUAGAUUGGUCCAGAACAGUUUCCGGUCAACGAGCAUUAUUUUGGAUUAGUCAAUUUUGGGAAUACCUGCUACUGCAAUUCAGUUCUUCAAGCACUUUAUUUUUGUCGUCCGUUUCGGGAAAAAGUUCUUGCAUAUAAGAGUCAACCUAGGAAAAAGGAGAGCUUUCUUACAUGCUUAGCAGAUCUCUUCCACAGCAUAGCCACUCAGAAGAAAAAGGUUGGAGUAAUACCUCCGAAGAAGUUCAUCACAAGAUUACAGAAAGAAAAUGAGCUUUUCGACAACUACAUGCAACAAGAUGCCCAUGAAUUCUUAAAUUACCUACUAAAUACAAUUGGUGAUAUUUUACAAGAAGAGAGAAAGCAGGAAAAACAAAAUGGUCGCUAACCUAAUGAUAAUAUUGAUAAUGAAAAUAAUAGCAGCACACCAGACCCAACGUGGGUUCAUGAGAUUUUUCGGGGAACGUUAACUAAUGAAACCAGACGUCUUACUUGUGAAACUAUAAGCAGCAAAGAUGGAGAUUUUUUAGACCUUUCUGUUGACGUGGAACAAAAUACAUCAAUUACUCACUGCUUAAGGGGUUUCAGCAACACAGAAACUCUAUGCAGUUAAUACAAGUAUUACUGUGAAGAGUGUCGCAGCAAACAGGAAGCACACAAACGGAUGAAAGUUUAAAAACUGCCCAUGAUUCUAGCUGUACACUUGAAGAGAUUUAAAUAUAUGGAUCAACUUCAUCGAUAUACAAAACUCUCUUACCGGGUGGUUUUUCCUUUAGAACUUCGUCUAUUUAACACUUCAGGUGAUGCCACCAAUCCAGACAGAAUGUACGACCUUGUUGCUGUUGUGGUUCACUGUGGAAGUGGUCCCAAUCGAGGCCAUUAUAUUGCGAUAGUUAAGAGUCAUGAUUUUUGGUUGUUGUUUGAUGACGACAUUGUAGAAAAAAUAGAUACACAAGCUAUUGAAGAAUUCUACGGGUUGACAUCAGAU